rnacentral:misc_RNA from 1 species
UCCGGUUUGUCACCGGCAGUCCCAUUAGAGUGCUCAACUGAAUGUAGCAACUAAUGGCAAGGGUUGCGCUCGUUGCGGGACUUAACCCAACAUCUCACGACACGAGCUGACGACAGCCAUGCACCACCUGUGAAGGUCCGGCCGAACCGACCCCGUGUUUCCACGGGUGCGACCUACAUGUCAAGCCCAGGUAAGGUUCUUCGCGUUGCGUCGAAUUAAACCACAUGCUCCGCUGCUUGUGCGGGCCCCCGUCAAUUCUUUUGAGUUUUAGCCUUGCGGCCGUACUCCCCAGACGGAACACUUAACGCGUUGGCUGCGGCACAGGAGGAUUCGACUCCCCCCACACCUAGUGUUCAUCGUUUACGGCGUGGACUAC